GACGAACGCUGGCGGCGUGCCUAAUACAUGCAAGUCGAACGCUUCUUUCCUCCCGAGUGCUUGCACUCAAUUGGAAAGAGGAGUGGCGGACGGGUGAGUAACACGUGGGUAACCUACCCAUCAGAGGGGGAUAACACUUGGAAACAGGUGCUAAUACCGCAUAACAGUUUAUGCCGCAUGGCAUAAGAGUGAAAGGCGCUUUCGGGUGUCGCUGAUGGAUGGACCCGCGGUGCAUUAGCUAGUUGGUGAGGUAACGGCUCACCAAGGCCACGAUGCAUAGCCGACCUGAGAGGGUCAUCCGCCACACUGCGACUGAGACACGGCCCAGACUCCCCCGGGAGGCAGCAGUAGGGAAUCUUCGGCAAUGGACGAAAGUCUGACCGAGCAACGCCGCGUGAGUGAAGAAGGUUUUCGGAUCGUAAAACUCUGUUGUUAGAGAAGAACAAGGACGUUAGUAACUGAACGUCCCCUGACGGUAUCUAACCAGAAAGCCACGGCUAACUACGUG
rnacentral:rRNA from 1 species